UUACUCCAGCAGUUACGGUAGUUUCCUCUGGUUUAUUGUAUUUACGGUAGCUGUGUUACUCCAGCAGUUACGGUAGUUUCUUUGUGGUUUAGUGUAUUUGUGGUAGCUGUGUUACUCCAGCAGUUACGGUAGUUUCUUUGUGUUUAGUAUAUUUAUGGUAGCUGUGUUACUCCAGCAGUUACGGUAGUUUCUUUGUAUUUAGUGUAUUUACGGUAGCUCUGUUAGUCCAGCAAUUACGGUAGUUCCUUUGUGGUUUAGUGUAUUUACGGUAGCUGUGUUACUGCAGCAAUUACGGUAGUUCCUUUGUGGUUUAGUGUAUUUACGGUAGCUGUGUUACUCCAGCAAUUACGGUAGUUUUGUCUUGUUUUUGUGUAUUUAUGGUACGGUAAGUGUAUUUGGUUUAGUGUAUUGUAUAAAACUGGCCAGAAACCCAAGCCAUAAGUAUACCUAGCAUAAAAUAAAAUGAUGCCGCGUCCACACGUUUGUGUGUAAAACAACACUUAAUUGUUAGUAAUUCUUUUGUAGUUUUCAUGAAAUACGUUAUUUCUGAAGCGCAAAUAAAUAUCAAUACAUUUUAUAAAUAUAUACGUGUCAAAAACAAAUCAUGAAUUGAAAUUCAACGAACAAACACAAAUCGAUAAACCGAUUUACAGACAUAAAAUGAAACCACGACAAAUAAUCCAUGCGAACAGGAAAACCAGUCACACAUCAUUUCAUCCACAGGCUCUUUAUUGAUGUUUUUUACAGCAGGUGAUCAAUUUUACUCCGAUACACGAUAAGAA
ensembl:lncRNA